rnacentral:rRNA from 1 species
AGAAACCCGAAAGAUCGAAUGAGGAGACUCAUCGCAAGCGUUGUUUGGCUUUCGUGUUGAUUGCGAUAUCGCGAUCGCGUAUCUCGGUAUGCGUUUUGCGGUACGCGUCAGCUGCGUGAUGUCCGAAUGCGUAGGCGUGCACUUCUCCUCUAGUAGAACGUCGCGAUCCGUUGAGUAUCGAUUUAAGGUUCGAGAUGGCAGUCUGUUCGUUGCGCGUGCAAGCGCGUAAUGUUCAAACUCUCGUAUCCCGAUCGGUUGCUCGGCGGUAUUAAAUGUGGUAUUGAGCCGCACUCGAAUGCGUUCAGACCCGUCGCAAGUCCGAUCAUUUUUGAACGCAAGUUUGAAUGUUCCGAGUUAUCGGGCCUGGUACCGUAACCGGUGGUGAUCGACUGUUCGCUGACGGUGUUCUCGAACUGGCUUAAUAAUAAGUAAUUAAAUACCAAUCGGCGACGCUAUUGUUUUGGGUACUUUCAGGACCCGUCUUGAAACACGGACCAAGGAGUCUAACAUGUACGCGAGUCAUUGGGACAGAAAAACCUAAAGGCGUAUUGAAAGAGAAGGUCGAUCUUGCAUCGACUAAGGGAGGAUGGGAGGCGUCGUAUUCGUUUAUAAUGCCUCCUCGCACUCCCAGGGCGUUUCGUACUCAUUGCGAGUUGAAGCGCACCCAGAGCGUACACGUUGGGACCCGAAAGAUGGUGAACUAUGCCUGGUCAGGAUGAAGUCAGGGGAAACCCUGAUGGAGGUCCGCAGCGUAUCUGACGUGCAAAUCGAUCGUCGGAACUGGGUAUAGGGGCGAAAGACUAAUCGACCAU